rnacentral:lncRNA from 1 species
GAACUCGCUGGGAGUCGUUGUGACUUUGGAUAUUGUAGUCGGAUUAGAGUUGAUGAAGUGGAGAUGGCUAUGCGUAAGAUGAGCAGGGGCAAAGCAACUAGGCUGGAUGAAAUCCCGGUGGAGUUUUGUAUGAGUACGGGCAAGGCAGGCUUGGAGUGGCUUAAUAGGUUACUUAAUGUCAUUUUUAGAACGAAGAAGAUGCUCGAAAAGUGGAGGUGGAGCAUGAUGGUUCCUGUAUACUAGAACAAGGGUGAUAUCCAAAAUUGCAAUAACUAUAGAGGUAUCAGGCUACUUAGCUAUACUAUGAAAGUCUGGGAGAGAGUGGUAGAGCUAAGGGUGAGGAGGAGUGUGUCUAUUUUCGAAUACCAGUUCGAGUUAAUGCCAGGGCGUUCAACUACAGAAGCCAUCCACCUUGUUGGGGGGGAGGGGGGGGGGGACAAGAGCAUUGUACUGGGUUAUUUGGAACUCGCUGAUAGUCGUUGUGACUUUGGGUAUUGUACGCGGGUUAGAGUUGAUGAAGUGGAGGGGGCUAUGCGUAAAAUGAGCAGGGGCAAAGCGACCGGGCUGGAUGAAAUUCCGGUGGAAUUUUGGAAAAGUGCAGGCAAGACAGGCUUGGAGUGGCUCACUAGGUUAUUUAAUGUUAUUUUUAGAACGAAGAAGAUGCCCGGAGAGUGGAGGUGGAGCAUGAUGGUUCCUGUAUACAAGAACAAGGGUGAUAUCCAAAAUUGCAAUAACUAUAGAGGUAUCAGGCUGCUUAGCCAUACUAUGAAAGUCUGGGAGAGAGUGGUAGAGCUAAGGGUGAGGAGGAAGGUGUCUAUUUUCGAGAACCAGUUUAGAUUUAUGUGGGGCAUUCGACGACAGAAGUCACCCACCUUGUUAGGAUAUUGAUAGAGCAGUAUAGGGAGAGAAAGAAGGACUUGCAUAUGAUGUUCAUCGACUAUCUAUUUUCGAAUACCAGUUCGAGUUAAUGCCAGGGCGUUCAACUACAGAAGCCAUUCACCUUGUUGGGGGGGGGGACAAGAGCAUUGUACUGGGUUAUUUGGAACUCGCUGAUAGUCGUUGUGACUUUGGGUAUUGUACGCGGGUUAGAGUUGAUGAAGUGGAGGGGGCUAUGCGUAAAAUGAGCAGGGGCUAAGCGACCGGGCUGGAUGAAAUUUCGUUGGAGUUUUGGAAGAGUGCGGGCUAGACAGGCUUGGAAUGGCUCACUAGGUUAUUUAAUGUUAUUUUUAGAACGAAGAAGAUGCCCGGAGAGUGGAGGUAGAGCAUGAUGGUUCCUGUAUACAAGAACAAGGUUGAUAUCCAAAAUUGCAAUAACUAUAGGGGUAUCAGGCUGCUUAGCCAUACUAUGAAAGUCUGGGAGAGAGUGGUAGAGCUAAGGGUGA